CGGGAUGUAGCACAGCUUGGCUAGUGCGCCUGGUUUGGGACCAGGAGGUCGCAGGUUCAAAUCCUGCCAUCCCGACAA
rnacentral:tRNA from 2 species